CGCACGGCAUUUACACACUCCAACGCACGCACACGAGGCCAACCAUGCCGACAGGGCAACCAAAAAGCUGCGAAACAAUUCCAAAGAAGCGCCAGCCCAAACUGGCCCCCCUCCCGGCCGGCGUGGGGAGCUGCGACGAGCGAAUUUUCUAAGCGCGCCCCGGGCGGUGAAAGGCGCCGGGGAACAGGAGGAUCGGAAGCAGUGACUUACAAAAGGUUGGCCCAAAAGCGGAGAGAGGUUAAUCACACUCUCCAAACCCCGCUUUUCAUUUUUACAUCGACGCUGCUCGAUGGCCUUGCACACCCAGCCGGGCCGGGCUCGGUAUUCCCUGGUACGUACGCCUGGGACGGGAUAUCACCGGCAUGCCGCGUGCGCUUCCCCGCCAUCAUCGUCCCCUGCUACGUACGACGGCGCGUCGAGAGAAAUGGAAAUUAGCAGGAGCACGUGCCGGGCGUAUCUGGUCCGUCGGUGCUGCCACUUGUCGUCGUUUUGCCGGAGCCGAUGGCCCUGCCCCCAAACUGUCAUUCCUCUAUCGCUCUCCCGAGCGGCUCGGACGGCCACCUAGCCCCCCGUCGCUAGCCUUCUCUUCCUCCUCAAUGACGCCGGAUAAGGCCUCCAGACAGAAGCGCAUGGCAGAUGGUGAUGGAAGUGUCUCUCUAGUUGGCGUCUAGGAUCGGAGUAGCGGAUUGUGGAUGCACCUUGUGGUUCUAAGACUGCUUCGGAUCCAACUCAAAGGAGAUGAGACACACAUGGCAGAUGAAGGUACUGGCACACCUUCUCCUACCUUCCUCAAUGUCACUUUUCGACUUUGCUGGUAGUUGUGGUGGUGGAUUGCGAGACAUUUCGUGACGACUCACGAGUUUAGGAACGUUAUAGUUGUGGCUUUGGAUUCGCGAGGCAUUUCGUGACGACUCGCGAGUUCAGAAACGUUAUAGUUGUGGCUACGACACUUUUUCAACGACCACCAUUGACAAUGUGUGUAGAUCCAUGCAUAAUGUAGUGUGUGGAUUGUCUCGCCAUUUUGACAAAGUUUGGUGAUGUUAACUACCAAGAGACCAUAUGUU